UAGACUUAUAUAUAUACGUAUAUACUUUGUUUUUUUUUCUUGAUCUUUUUGGCAAUGUCUAGUCUCAUGGCAGGUUUAGCAAAUGACUGUAACUGAUAACAAACAUUCACAUUUCUUGAUGAACAUGUUUUUUUUCCUUGAUGAACAUGUAAAACGUUGCAACAUUUAAAUUUGUUUUAAUCUUAGUUUAUGUAAUAUUUUAUAAACAAGUAGUAUAUACUGGGGGUGAUUGGUAGUUGCUGUAGGUGCUGUCCACAGCCCUAUUUAUUUCCACAGCACCAAAUUCAGAGCAAUCAAGCUUUAAAUUUUUUUUUGAAACCACAGCUCUUAAAAUAUCCUACAGCUGUACAAGUGCUCUGCAGAGCCAAAUAUCCAAAG
rnacentral:lncRNA from 1 species